AUCGCUGUGGGCUAAUUGGUAAGCUACAAAGGAAUGCGGGUUCGAAUCCUGCCAGCGAUA
rfam:Lactobacillus plantarum bacteriophage phiJL-1, complete genome.